rnacentral:rRNA from 1 species
UCGGAAUCUGGGAGGACCAUCUCCUAAGGCUAAAUACUCUCUAGUGACCGAUAGUGAACCAGUACCGUGAGGGAAAGGUGAAAAGCACCCCGGAAGGGGAGUGAAAUAGAACCUGAAACCGUGUGCUUACAAGUAGUCAGAGCCCGUUAAUGGGUGAUGGCGUGCCUUUUGUAGAAUGAACCGGCGAGUUACGAUUUGAUGCAAGGUUAAGCAGUAAAUGUGGAGCCGUAGCGAAAGCGAGUCUGAAUAGGGCGUUUAGUAUUUGGUCGUAGACCCGAAACCAGGUGAUCUACCCUUGGUCAGGUUGAAGUUCAGGUAACACUGAAUGGAGGACCGAACCGACUUACGUUGAAAAGUGAGCGGAUGAACUGAGGGUAGCGGAGAAAUUCCAAUCGAACCUGGAGAUAGCUGGUUCUCUCCGAAAUAGCUUUAGGGCUAGCCUCAAGUGAUGAUUAUUGGAGGUAGAGCACUGUUUGGACGAGGGGCCCCUCUCGGGUUACCGAAUUCAGACAAACUCCGAAUGCCAAUUAAUUUAACUUGGGAGUC